CCGGCGGGACGUGGUUCGGGGCUCCCGGAGGCGGCGGAGGCGGAGGCGGAGGCCCGGACUCGGGCCGGGGCGGGAUCCAGGGGGCGCCUGAGCCGGAGCAGGCCGCGCCUGGAGGCCACAGGCCGCUCGCCCGCCUCAGGCCCGUCGGCCGCCGCUCCCCUCCCUGCGCCCUGUUCCCCGCAGGACCAGAGAGGCCGCCGCCGCCCGGUGGUACUCGGGCGAAGGGAAGCCGCGAGGCAGGUCCUGGGGAAGAGCUCGCCUGCUCCUGAGGGAAUCGGCGAUAAGACGGAGCUUUGAGGGUGAGCCGGAGGCCGAAUCACUCUGCUCGUCGGGACGCAGCCUUUCUAACGCCACGGUGGGCUCGCACCACUCUGGGCCUGCUGCCCACACUGACUGCGGGGUCCGGGGGAGCGGGAUGCUGGCCGGCCGCGCCUGGCUUCUUGGAAAGAGCGGGAAGGAGCGCGAGAAUGCAGUUCCGCGGCAGAAACCUCUGUAGAGGAGCAGGAUGCAACCGACAGGCUGUGGCCAGACAGCUGCUACCCAGCACAUGGAGCCUGCACGCGCACGAUUUGGUCAAAGAAGCCCCCAUACUCCCGGUGAAAAAGAUUUCCAGAAGCUGUUCUGUCAAUAACAAAGUCUCAAGGAAAACCACAAAACCACCAACACUAAGAUCAUUCUUGAGUCCAGUUUGAAAAAGUCUAGAAAUCCUGUGCCAAAUACGGUUAAUUUGUUUGCUGAGAAGGAUAUAGAACUGCAACCCUCAUACACUGAUGGGAAAACAGUCUGGAACUUUCUUAAAACAUUCUGAAUUCUGUGCUUAGCCCAGAGCUGCACAUACCAGAGGCAGAGCCCAAGCAACACAGCCACACUCUGAACUGACACUCGGAUCACCACUACCAAACAGAAGGCAACGCAGGACCUGCGGACUAAGGCUAACGAGGCUGACUGCCCCACAAAACAAAAAAAAGAAACAUUCUUCAGGGAAUUUUAGCAGAGCACAGAGUCUCGCAACAUAAAACACAGUCCUCACUUUGAACAGCAGUUCAGAACUGUAAAAAUGACCUUCCAACCUGAAACUGUGCCAUGUGCUGUUAAUAAUCAUUAAUGGGUAAAAUUGUGAUUUUUUUCCUGUCUUUUGAAAAUUGUUAAAACAUUGGUAAUCUUGUACUGUUAGAAAUGUAUAAGGAAACAAUACAGUAAAUAUUUUUGUACACUGUAAUUUAAAACAUUAGCAACACUGGGAAUUAAAGUGUUUGAUGUCUUCCUAAAAACCAUCAAGAGACAUUUGAACAGUGCUUGCCUUCUUCAAAAGUCAUGUACCUUAUGAUAUGCAGCAAGCACCUUUUCUGUGUUUCAAAAACCUGUCAUGCCCCUUCUAAGUUUGGAUCAGCUUCUAAUAUUUUAUCCUUUCUGCUUUUGGUGUCAUGAAAUAUCUCCAAGUCCGUUCAACGUGAAGGUUUUUGCUGACGUUCCUUCCUCUAGGACAUCUUCAUCCUUUCCAUCACAACCGCAUUCUUCAUUUAUUGGAUGAAUUCACCUUUUCGGCAGCAGUGCCAGCAUCCCAUAGUCUGUUUCUUCAGUGACCCCGUUUAUGUUUGAUUUCCAUUCACUUUCAGUGUUUUCGGUUUUGAGUUUCUUUGCUGCGUUUCUAUCUUUAUUUGUCCGUUUUCUCUUUUGAAUAUCCAUUUGUGUAAAAUGCCGUGUGGGUUUAUCACUGGGAGACAAGGAGGCCACACAAUUCACACUUCGCUGUCUGUGCAUGAACUGAACACAGACGCACAGUGACCAAUCACCCACAGGUUUUGGAAAGAAGAGACAUGAUUGGUCACUGAUCAUGAUGUACCUCUGUUAUUAUGUAGUGAUUUGUGGACUGGGGAGCUAGCAGAAAGUUUGAACUUCAUGCAGUUACAGUUAAUAUAUUCUGGUAACUCAAAUUUGAACCAUGUUGUCACAUGUUGUCAGAGGACUGGUGUUCACCAUAAUAACUAAAAUUUCAGAAUCAUGAAAUGUCACUUCUGAUCUAUUCUAUUCAUUAAAAGUCAGUCACUCAUUCUGGCUCACACUCAAGGGUAAGGGAAUUAGGCCCCAGCUUCUGAAGAGAGGAUCUCCAAUGACUUUGUGGACAUAUUUUCGGAUUCUUCAGGAAGUCCACAUUCCUGAAGAAUAUUGGCACUGGGUAUAGAAUUCUGGGUGGAUGAUUCUUUCCUAUGAGUGCUUUAAAGAUACUGUUCCACUGCAUCCUGGCCUACACGAUGUUUUAUUAUAUGUCUGAGAGAACCUGCAAUUUGAAUUGUUGUUCCCUAUACCUAAUGUAUUGGGUUUCUUUCUGGCUACUUUCAGGAUUCUUUAAAUCUUUGGUUUUCAGCAGUUCGAU